rnacentral:lncRNA from 1 species
UGCUGUGACCGCAGAGAUGACAGUCGCUGGAUGGUACUGAAACAGGGAGCUCACUGGCAGAGCUCAGCCUCCUGGGUGGGCCAGUGUCGAGGAGAGAAUUUCAAGAGAUAGAAAGUGACAUUCUCCAGCAAGCAUGAAGAACAAUGCAUGAUCGUUGUUUGUGACCACAUCAGAAUACCCCAUCAUCCCAGGGACUUCCCAAAUGGGGCCAUGUGGGCAAGGAAGGGCAAGGGCUCUUAGAAGUGGCUUCUUCCCACCAGCCCCAGUGAGUACCAGUGCCAAAACCCAGUGGGGUCCUGAAGAAGGAAGACAUUCCUUCUCCCAACUUCCCAAGCUGCUGAGGGUGGUCACAUGACCUCAUUCUGGCCAAUAAGAUAUAAGGGGCCUCUGCUGGGAGGGCCCUGGAAACAUUUUCCUCCUCGACAAAAGAGGUAGGAGAAUUCUCUUCUUUCCUGCCCCCUUCCUGGGAUGGGAAUGCUGUCAUGUAAGGACAUGAUAUUUGGAACAGUUGCAGCCAUCUUGCAGCCAUGAGGCAAAGGCCAAGAAAAAUCAAAAUUCCCAAAGACUUUUGAAAUCAUCGAGCUGUUGAGCAUGGAAUUACCUACCUCCAGACUUCUGGCCAGACCUGGGCUCUGCCAUCCACAACAUGUAGCGUCCCUUUCUGGAUUCGAGAUGGCAGCUCCCCCCUGCCCAGCCGGAAGGAAGGGAAGAUUGGAAGUGAAGGGCAAUCGGCUCCUUUAAAGAUGAGACCUUGAAGAUCUAUAUACAUUUCUGCCCACAUCCCAUUGGCCAGAUCUUAACCAUGUAAUCACAUCCAGGUUGGAAGGCAGCUUUCUCUGCCACACUUGAAGGAUGGAAUGCCAAUAUUUUUUUCACUUUCUGGGAAGAUCUGAAGAUUAAAGGCCUCCGUGCCCUCGAGGAGAGCAGAAUGGUUUUCUUGGUUGCUGGUUUCUGAGCCUUAUCAAAGGGACCCUGGCUCCAGCGGGGCUGGUCUGAUCCUUCUGUCAAGAUUCAGCUCAUUCCCAUGUCCUCUCCUCCAUUACUUCAAGGAGCAGUGGCAGCCCCCACACCCCCAAAGGCCACUCUCUCCCUUCUGAGGUUUGAAGCUGAUGGUGUCCCCCAUUUGACAGAUGGGGUACCUACGAUGUGCGGGCCACUCUCCUAGACACUGGACAUAAACAAGAUACAAUCCAGGCUCCUGAGGAGCUGCCCACCCAUGUGACAGGGAUGUCACCAGGGAGGUGACCUCCAUGGGCCUCAGAAAGAGGAGGCAGACUGACCAGCAAAGGCUAUGCAGGACAGAAGGACACGAUUAGGGACGUGGCCCACCUCACUGGGAUGGGACCUGGGGCAAGCCUUCCCCUCUUCAGGGCUCCCCGUCCUCUUCUCCAAGUGAGAAAGUAGACUGGGGCUCCCGGGUCUUUGAAUUUCGUGGACAAUAUAUCAAAAACCUAACUGAGAGAGCCAGUCAGCUCACCAACGUUUUGUUCCACUGAGUAAGGAAUUUUAGAGAAAAACGAAAACCAGGCCAACAAUUACCAUCUGCCAUCACCAUUAUUUCAUGAGAGAGGGCAUUUUAACCCAAAAAAGCAGGAAGGGCAUAGUCUCAGAAUGAAGGCUGAGCCUUCAAACCGACUCACUCAGCUGAAUCAAGCUCGCUGUGCUGUCCUUGCCGUCCUCGUGCCGCCCCCUCCAGGGGAGCUUUGUGGUGACUAGAUGAUCCACGGCACUUUCUAGCACUAAUGUCCUGGCAGCUGCUGCGUGUGACCCACUGAAGCCGUGACCAAGAGGCCCAAGCCUAGUGCCAUCUCCAGGCGAGAGAGAGAGAGAGAGAGAGAGAGAGAGAAAGAGAGAGAGAGACACACGGUCAGGGGUCUCUAUCGGACAGUGUUGGAGGAGCACCCAGUCCCAACACUUCCUGGAGCCCGCUGUUCUCUCCCAUCCACUUCCCUCAUCCCCACAGCUGCUCCCCUCUUCUCCUCCCCAAACUCCCUGAGAAACAAUGCCCCUCCCGUCUCUAGUCUUCAGGCCUCCAGCCCAGAGGCCACAGGAGCAGAGGGGACCAGGAGCACUCGGCAGCUCAUGGCCUGUGUGAUGGGGGAGGCUGCCAUUCAGCCGUGGGGGACGCUCGUGUGCCUCCCACACGCCUUCAAGCUGCUGGGAGUGCUGGUGGCAGAGCAGUUGCCUCCGUGCAGAGAGCUGCCUUGUCUAAGGUC